UCCCCUGUAGCUCAGUUGGUAGAGCAUGGCUGCUUGCAACGCCAGGCUUGUGGGUUCGAUUCCCACGGGGGGCC
rnacentral:tRNA from 1 species